GUACCGUGAGGGAAAGGUGAAAAGAACCCCGAACAGGGGAGUGAAAAGAACCUGAAACCGUGUGCUUACAAGCGGUUGGAGCAGGCAGGUCCUGUGACAGCGUGCCUUUUGCAUAAUGAGCCUACGAGUUACUCUUGUCUGGCAAGGUUAAGUCCUUCAGGGACGCAGCCGAAGCGAAAGCGAGUCUUAAUAGGGCGCAUAGUCAGAUGAGGUAGACGCGAAACCUUGUGAUCUACCCUUGGGCAGGUUGAAGUUGCAGUAACAUGUAAUGGAGGACCGAACCGAUAAACGUUGAAAAGUUUCCGGAUGACCUGAGGGUAGGGGUGAAAGGCCAAUCAAACUGGGAAAUAGCUCGUACUCCCCGAAAUGUUUUUAGGAACAGCGUCGGCGUAGAGUUUGAUAGAGGUAGAGCUACCGAUUGGGUGCGGGGGAGUCAAAUCCUACCAAAUCCAGACGAACUCCGAAUGCUAUCAAAUAUAGCCGGCAGUGAGGCUUUGGGUGCUAAGGUCCAAGGCCGAGAGGGAAAGAACCCAGACCAUCAGCUAAGGUCCCCAAAUUCGUUCUAAGUUGAACUAACGAGGUCCGGUUGCCCAGACAGCUAGGAUGUUGGCUUGGAAGCAGCCAUUCAUUUAAAGAGUGCGUAACAGCUCACUAGUCGAGCGGCCGGGCGUGGAUAAUAAACGGGCAUCAAGAACGGUACCGAAGCUAUGGAUUUGCACUGAAAGAUGUGCAUCUGGUAGGGGAGCAUUCCAUCGCCGGGGAAGCAGUUUGGCAAUGAACUGUGGAGGUUAUGGAAAAGCAAAUGUAGGCAUAAGUAACGAUAAGGCGGGUGAGAAACCCGCCCACCGAAAGACCAAGGUUUCCUGAUCAACGUUAAUCGGAUCAGGGUCAGUCGGGACCUAAGGCGCACCCGAAGGGGGCAAGCCGAUGGACAACUGGUUAAUAUUCCAGUACUCUUCAUAACUGCGAUGUGGUGACGGAGUAGUGACACUGCCGCGAACUGACGGAAUAGUUCGUUGAAAGGCGUAGGUAUUGGAGUUGUAGGCAAAUCCGCAACUCUAGCUGAAACCCAAUAGUACAGCAAAGCUCCGGUGGCGCUGAUAGAGCAGGUAAACAGACUUCCAAGAAAACCCGCUAAGCUUCAGGUUAUGAAGACCCGUACCGCAAACCGACACAGGUGGUCGAGGAGAGAAUCCUAAGGUGCUCGAGUGAGUCAUGGCUAAGGAACUCGGCAAAAUGGCCCUGUAACUUCGGGAGAAGGGGCGCUGUCUCAGUGAUGAGCAGCCGCAGUGAAAAGGCCCAGGCGACUGUUUAACAAAAACAUAUGGCUUUGCAAAAUCGCAAGAUGAAGUAUAAGGCCUGACACCUGCCCGGUGCUGGAAGGUUAAGAGGGGAUGUCAUCGCAAGAGAAGCAUUGAAUCGAAGCCCCAGUAAACGGCGGCCGUAACAAUAAC
rnacentral:rRNA from 1 species